CCACUUGUCUCCUCUUUUUCAUCUCGUGGCUCAUCCAGUUGUAGAUUUGGCUCGGGCUCUCCAUCAGUCUCGAAAUCCAUGUCAUAGGUCCAGGUGUAUUGAGGACGGUUGUUCAAGGAAUGUGCUAUCUGUUCCACUUGAUUUUCCAAAUUCUUAAUCAACGCCCCUUAGCUUUGCAAAUUCAGCUCUACUUGAUUCAUUUUCUUG
rnacentral:lncRNA from 1 species